rnacentral:lncRNA from 1 species
UAGAGAACUGCUAGCGGGACAGCAUUGCUCUUUCAAGGGAGCCUGAUGGAGACCACAGAUAAGGCUUUGCUUUUAAGAUCUAAACC